rnacentral:lncRNA from 8 species
AUGGUCUCCUCCACAGUAGGCUUAGACGGGACAGGAGCUGUAAUCAGAGAAAAAUCUACGAUUUGGUUUAUUUUUUCCAUCAGAAAUAAAAAAGAGAUGGAGCUACUGAGGCCUGCACUUCUUAUUGUCUUUAUCUCAAAAGCAAUUGCAAAACCAUUCAACAGACUUGGACAUCACAAUGGUCCACAGUUCAACAGACUUGGACAUCACAAUGGACCACAGUUCAACAGGCCUGGACACCACAAUGUUCCACAGUUCAACAGGCCUGGACACCACAAUAUUCCACAGUUCAACAGGCCUGGACACCACAAUAUUCCACGAAUCCACGAGUCCUCAGAAUCUGAUGAAUCAAGAAUGACACGAGGACCAACUGCUCCAACCACAGUGAACCCUCCCACUGCUGCCAUGUCAACUAUUCCACCAGUGACAGAAAUGUCCACGAAUGGGCCAAUUGUCAGUGAAACGACACCGUCACCAGGGAAUGUUACUGCACGUGUCACUGAGGACAUUACAACUCCCGCUCCAGCAACUAGAGGAGACAACUAAUAAUGAGAGUAUUCAUGAGAAUACUUAAUUAUAAUUAUUCCAGAGUUUAUAAAUCAUUGCUUUUUUUACGUCAUCAUUUUUUGUAUGGACUGUUUACAGUACCUGCAUUGUAUGAAAUAUCUUGGAUCUUUUUAUAUUUUUUAUGCAGCAGCAUUUCUAGGUAAUGUUAUCCAUAGCUUCAUAAUAACCCUAUCAGAAGCCCUGUAAUCUUUACUAGUUCAACAUAUGGUGGUAGUUACGGGUGUUUGAAUGUCUGUGAACUAGGUGAUCAUAAUCUGCUGGGUGUGAUAGAAACAUCUGUGAAUGUUUGAUUGAUUUAUUGAUAUUGUUGUGUUAUGCUCCAGUAUGUCUCUUUACAUACAGUAUGUAGUGACUUGCUCUUUGGAGUUUUAGGCUGGUUAUCUGUAAAGUACAUUGCGACAACUGCUGAUUUAAAAAGGGCUUACUAACAUACAUUUGAUUGAUAUUUGUUGUGAACUUGUGUACUCAAUAAAGAGAUAGAAAAAUACUUAAAAAGAGAAAAGAUGUCUCUUAAUUGAUUAUAUUUUUGAUUACUGUUAUCAAGUUUUAGUUCUUGGUAUGAUCAGUCAUAAUAGAUGAUUAGUGUAUUAGUGUACUCCAUGCUUGGAAAAGAGUGAGUGUUCAGUGAGAUGGAGUGUGUGAUUAACAGUGGGAUUUUGACAGUGAUUUUAUCCAUUCCUACAGCGCUGUCUUGUGGCUAUUUGUUGCACUACACCACCAAGGGAUCAUGGCACAGCUUGAGUUAUGUGUGAACUCCAGCUUCCUCCUGACCGAGACAACACCUCAUCAGACAAUAGAGUAAGGAAUGUUACGUUGAGAAAAACAACCUAUGAACAACUUAAUUUGAAGACUCAAAAUGUAAUUUUUUCCAGUUCUAUUUUACAUCCAGCAUGUUUACUGUGACAGGGCCUUUGUUCAUAUUUUAGCUCAUAAUGACGCUGAAUGAUGGAUUGUGGUUUCUCUGGUGAACACCACUGUGAAUCCCCCUGGAGUCUCUACAUACUAUGCACAGAGCUCAAUGGCUCAGCAGACACAACAAUGUAUACACAUGUGAAAUAACACACCCACUAUGAGUUCUAUGAAAAAAAGAAUGCAUGUAUUUAGGAAUGAUACAACGUUAUACAUUAUUACAGUAAAAAUGGGACAAACAAUAUGUAGUGUAAAUAAUUGUGCAAUUGAACAAAAUUGACUGUUCUAUAUGUCAUGAUGAGAUGGCUAGUAUGAAUCUUAUCAUGUAUUAUUGUUGUACUGUAUCAGACCCUAAGGGCCCUGUAUUGUGCUUAUGUGUCUUCCGUUAUUCUCUCCGUUCUGACCUCUCCUCCUAAGGCAGGGUCAUAGAGCACCUUCCAGGUGCUGGUAGCAUUCUUCACUGUCGACAGCAGC